rnacentral:lncRNA from 1 species
AUAUAUUUUAUUAAUCUGCAUAGAUUGCAGCACUGGUUUUAUCGGGGGAAAAUGUUUAAUGUAAUUUUAAUACUAAGUUUCUGUAUCUUCCUAGUAGGUCCUAUUCCAUGGAUGAGUUUGUUUCACUCAAUCCUCGGUCCUUUAAGGAGAUGCUGUGUGCACAAGGCACGCCAGAUGUGACUGGAUAUCUUGCAAUGGGCACAUCUUCCCAGUGAGAACAGGCAUCCACCACGUCCAGCUCUUCCCGUGCUGACAGCUGUCAUCAUCCUCCUCUCUUCCGCGGCAUGGCCCUGCCAAGGAAUUGUGUGGAAGGCCAGCUACAUCCAGGCAAACACGUGGAAUUCAACCUGUUACACUCGAAUCUGUUUUGCCUCCCCUGUUCCUAUACCAUCUGUGCCUGAUGAUGACCUGGAUGAUCCUUCAUUGCCAUCUUCUACUACCUUCUAUUAGAGUCAGUGGUAUCACUGCCAUCUGUCAACUUGCCCAUGCAACUACAUUUUUUCAGUUUCCACCCCCAAAGAGUCCACGGCCCUCUUGCAAGAAAACGUUUGGAAAGGAGCUUGAGCCCAUGCUGAGCGUUUCCUGA